rnacentral:tRNA from 6 species
GGUCCGGUAGCUCAGUGGUAGAGCAGAAGCCUUUUAAGCUUUUGGUCCUGGGUUCGAAUCCCAGCCGGAUCA